UGUAAGCGUAUACCAAAGUUGUUGCAGUUAAAACGCUCGUAGUCGGAAUUUGGCAGUUCCGGAUGUGUGCACGUCGUGUGCGCACUUCGCGGGGAUUGCUUUUGUGGUCUUGCGUAGGAUGAGGCACUUUUAUUAGUGAACGUCCUCACGCAACCACUUUUUACUGUGAGAAAAUCAGAGUGCUCAAAGCAGGCAUUUGCCGUGAAUGUAUUAGCAUGGAAUAAUAGAAUAGGACUCGGUUCUAUUUUGUUGGUUUGUUGGGACUGAGUAAUGAUUAAGAGGGACAGUUGGGGGCAUUUGUAUUUCGGCGCUAGGGGUGAAAUUCUUAGAUUGCCGAAAGACAAACUGCUGCGAAAGCGUCUGCCAAGGAUGUUUUCAUUGA
rnacentral:rRNA from 1 species